rnacentral:miRNA from 1 species
AUGUGUGUUUGUGUGUGUGUGUAAGAGAGAGAGAACAACACACACACACACACACACACACACACACACACACACACACACACACAGAU